GGUUAUUCAGGGGAACGCUUUCGAUUUUUAUUGUGGGUAGCCUGCACAAAGAGCCGUGUUAUUGUAUUUAAAAGAACCAUCUGUAGCAGAAACAAUGGCAUCAAAUUAUCUUUGAAUACCCACUGAAAAAAACAUAAAGCUUUUUUUUUUAUUCUUCUUCUGUACGGUGGGGGGAUAGAGCAGUGUUAGGAUAACUGACUUUUUUGUUGUUCUCUGGGUGCAUUCUUCUCGCUCCCCCUCUCUCCCCCUCACCCUCUCUCUCUUCUCUCUCUCCCUCUCCCUCUCUCUCUCUCUCUCUCUUUUAAAAAAUCAGCCAUUUGGGGUUUUAAGCCAUAAACGAUUUUUCUUGUUGCAGGGGAUUGCAGUGGCAAAGCUAGGCUAGGUCUUGGAAGCUGGUGUAAGGCGAUGCGGGUGAAGGCAGGAGGCUGAUGGAAAGACUGGGGGGAAGAAAAGCCGAAAUGGAUUCACGGUGCCUUGGAUGAAGGACGAGAGGGGAACUGCAAGCUCCUUCAACUGGUUCUGUCCGGUGAGAAGUGAUCAAGCUUGGGCUGACAAGAGGCUCAGGGAACCCUCACGUUCUUUCGCUUUUUUACCUGCCAAUCAAACUGCUACAAGACAACACCCUGAUCUGGCAUGGACAUCGCGGGUCCAAGCCUGUAGCCCCAAAUCGGAUAAUCUCUGCAGCUGAUAACAAGCAAAAGAGAAGCCAGGCAACAGCCAUAUUAAAGAAGAAAACAAUCAACUCUGAGACGUCGCGGUAGCUGUCACCCAGUUCGGCUGUACUUUUUUAAACGCUCGCAUAUUGUUUGAUUACUAAUUCGAGUUAAUAUGAUCUUUAUGGCAACAUAACAGUGGAUAAUUGGCCUUUUUUUCUGAACAACAAUGUAAAUCACAAUCGCUUUAUUAUUUAAUAACGUCAAACGCUUCGUUGGAUUGGCCCCGACCGAGAAGACCUUUUCUUUCUAGACAGUGUUGUGGAGGAAGAACAAUGAAGAUCUAAUUGUGGAGAUUUCAUAAGUUGGCUCCCGUAAAUGAACAGCUUAGAUAUGGAAGUUCCAGCAGAUGUGGGUACUAUUAGCCUCUACAAGCUCUACCCCCAACCCCCAUAUACGCAGUCCAAACACUCCAUUGGAGGGCUUUUUUUUUUUUUUUUUUUUGGUGGUGGUGGUGGUGGUGGUCCGCAGAUCCUAGCAACCACCUAAAGUUUCCAGUAGUAAUUAGAGCUUUUAUCGGGCUUGCUCUUCAGCCCUUUAUAUUGCCGAUUUAGCGUUAAGGCAUUAAGUCCACACACCAAAUUAGCGCGACUCCCAAAUAACCACAACCACUUAUUCUCCCCUUCCCUCAUUUUGGUGAUUGGACACCAAGAGCACGGGCCUGGGACUUUUGGGGGGGGGGGGAGCGUUUACUUUGUUUUGAUUUGAUUUUUAAAACGGAUUCGCUAUCGCACUGUCUUGGAAUAUACUUGUUUCAGGCAGAGUUUUGCAAGGGACCUGAGCCAUUAUUUUGCAAACGCCUGGAAGAGCACACGAAACUCAGAGAACUACAAUGCAGACGACAACGCUUAGAAGGAAUGGGUCCCCGCUGCUCGAAUGAAAGAUUAAUUACAUUUGCCCCAAAAGCCCCAAUUCUAACGGUCUCUAUCGCGGCUUUUGCGGUCACUGGAGGACCGCUGUCUCUGGGGUCUGCAGACAUCGGAGUCCUUUGCAAAUGAAGAGCCCCCACCAUUUGGAAUUCGGGUCAAGGAGAAAGACUCUGAGCCUGCAGCAGUUUUUGUUUUUGCGUGUGCCCGCCUCUCCAUUUUAUUCAACUUCUUCUGCCUGUCGGGAAGCAGAACAAUCGCUCCCCACCCACCCCCCUCCGCCACGUUUCUAAGAUAAACAGGAGGUGCAAAAUGCUUUGCCUGCACACGCGCCCUCGUGGCCCAGUCUUCCUGCCACCCCCAGCGCACCGGGCCAUGCAGCUGUCUCCCAACCAGACCUGGGAGAAGACAUCCCCCCUUCUCUCUUCCCACCUGCAUUUAAAAACCAUCGCAUUGACUGCUCUAGAGUCAGGUUCACAGUUUCGGCCCUCCAUGCCACCUUCCAGUUUCUUCCCAGUCCACUCUCUCUCUUUCCCAGGACCUAAAAAGUGACGGGGAGAGAGUGAAGAAUUGGAGAAAGCAGCAGAUUUUCAAAACGUAUCCCCCCGCCCCCACCCCCCACCCCCAUCUUUUAAAGUAGUAUGUUGCCACAAGGAGUGGAUUUGGGAAACUUUCCCUAACAGGAGUUGGGCGCAGUGUUAUUCUUCUCCAUGGGUCUGCUGGCCUCCCCGCCCCCGCUGGACAAUGCGUGCUUUGAGACUCGGUGGCCUGCAGGCAGCGGGAGACGAGGGGACUGGGCAGCCUUCCUCCAAGGGGCCCGCAGCUGGGAGAGCGCCAGGCAGGGAGCAGAGACAGGGAGACGAGCCACGCAGGAAGGAAAACCAUGAAAGUGCCAUUUUUUCCCUCAGCCUACACAGAGGCAGGCUUUGAGGACCUAGGGGCAGGGCAGUUGGGGCGGGGGUUGGGGGGCGGCGUUGAGAGGUUUUGCGUGUUCUUUUGGCCCCUUUCCCCCAACUGAAACAUUUUAUUUUGGCACAUAAUUAUGCACCCUAGGUUGUCCAACCUCCUUGCCCUCAAUCUUGGUAACCUGGUCUUUGGUUAAUAAUAUCACAACUCGGGGCUUUAACGCUCAGACCCGCUCCAGGCCCCAGCCUCCGUAUUCUCGGAGCCCUCCACCACUGAUACCUCUCACGGAGUGCGGCGCCCCAGGAAAAGGCUCUUGGCCAGGGCCUCUGGGACAUUACUUUCUAGUUUGUUUUGUUUGUUGUUUUUCUCCCAAAGAGACCACCACCACCCUCAUCCUCUAUCAGGCAGCAUUUAAGAGAGGACCUCUGAGAUCGGCAGAAGCCCUCAGACGGUUGCCAUAUUGGUGGAAGCGUUUGUCUGAUGUUUUAAAACGUAUACCAAACGGGGCGUCAGGGCCACGUGCUGUGCCUUCGAAAAGCCGCCGCGGGCCCUGCCUUUCAGAGCUGCGGAAGCAGGGGCUGGCUUGGAGGGGGCGCUGAAACCACCGGCAGGCGUCAGGGGCCAGCGCUGAGCUGCAAAUCUGGCCGCAGCGCUGAGUGAAGCGAAUUAUCUGGAGCGUGUUUGAUCUGGGACUGCGUAGUCAGCUUCUGCUUUAUUUGUUUGUUUGUAAUCUCAUAUUUAGCAAGCCGGGACGGUGGCAGCAAGGGAGAAAGGACGGGAUGGAGGAGGGGGCUUCGCUGUAACCACACCCCUUCCUAAUGAGUUAAUUUCCAUACUUGCGCCUCCCGCAUCUAGCGCCCUCUUUUUUUUUUUUUUUUCUUCCUGACGCCACUGUGCUGUUGCGUCUUGCGCAGCGCAGACACCUCCACUCUGGAUUGAAACGAAAAAGCUCGCGGUAAGAGCAGAAAAUUGGUCUAUUGAUACAUUCGCUCCGAGUGUUGAUCUUGGCAUCACCGGUAGCCGGUUAAUUCCCCCACCCCGCCCCCGCCAGUGGGUCGCACGCGGAUUGCCGAGGGCUUGCGGGCACUCAGGCAGACGCAGACAGAAACCCACAUCGACUCCCGCCUUUCCCCGCCUCCAGCUGUCAGAGACCCUCAAGUCCCUUUCUUUUUUACCCAACUCCGGAUUAUUUUCCCCCUCAAGGUGAGGGCAGUGAGAGCAGUGAGGGCACAGUCCGCACAAAAAGGGAGAAAAAAAUCGCAAACGAACGAACCAAAAGUGAAAGUUUCAAACUAGAUACCAGACCUGAUGAAGAAAUAUGUAAUCUCGAACUCGAGGGAAGGUGCUGACCCGAGUGGGUACUUAAGAGAGGGAAGGAGGGAAACUGAGGUGGUGAGAUUAUGUCCACAGUACGGGUCGGUUAAAAGUUGUAGUAAAGAAGUUUUGGGAGGGCCCUCACUAGAAACUCAAGGCGGGUUUCAGCUGAUUUAACCUGGUUUCCUACACAUUUUUGCGGUGAUUCUGCUCUGGAAAUUGGCGAAAGAGACAGACCUUUACAAUUGCUCACCGCUCCCUGCCCCCACCAUCCUGCUUACUUCGCGAAGCGCAUUAGGAUGUGGGCUCUGGCUUGGGCUCCAAAAUAGCUUGCUUGUCAAUUGCGAGCUGUAGCAAUAUCAAAGUGAACUGUCCCAAGUAACUCUUGUCUAGAAGCUGGGAAGAAGCUUAAGCAGCUCGCUUUAAUGAUGAUUUGUAGCUCGGCGAGGGGCACGGACAGCAAACACCCCGCAGGUGUGUGCCGUAACACCAUCAUCCGGACUUGAAUGUAGAUUACUCUGGCGAUCGUUUGAUCGGCUCUUUGAAACCCUUUACAAUUGCCUGUGACGAACGGCCAGUCUCAGUUUUUCUCUGAAUAAUCCCUGAGGAUCCAACUUAGAAAUAAUGUUUCAUUCAAGAUAAGGCUCGUGGUUUAGGAGAUUGUGACCUGGCUUGCAUCAUUCUAAGACUUCUAUCAUCGGUUUUCAAAACCCAAGGAGGACCUCAUUCUCUGUGUGAUAGUUCCUCAUGCUUUGCCAGCCACUGGGUCUUUAAGGAAGCUUGCCAAGAGUUCCCAGCUGGGAAGGACAGUUCGAGUUCAUCAUAGACAGUGAGCUGGCACCACAGUUUAAGUGACUCACCAACCUGGUUGUCCACUUCAAAAUGUCAAGAACCGCACUAUCUAAUUGAAAGAACUGUGUUUUAGCAAAGUGUAAUUGGAUCGCAUGGCAAGAUCAUCUCAAACUAUGUCUCUGACCUUGCCUUUCAGUGGCUGUUUGGAGCACAAGAGGAGAAAGGAAAUGAUUCCUGAAUUACAUAUUGCUUUUAAAAAUUAAGAUUAAUUAGUGGCCGGGCGCGGUGGCUCAAGCCUGUAAUCCCAGCACUUUGGGAGGCCGAGACGGGCGGAUCAGGAGGUCAGGAGAUCGAGACCAUCCUGGCUAACACGGUGAAACCCCGUCUCUACUAAAAAACACAAAAAACUAGCCCGGCGAGGUGGCGGGCGCCUGUAGUCCCAGCCACUCGGGAGGCUGAGGCAGGAGAAUGGCGUAAACCCGGGAGGCGGAGCUUGCAGUGAGCUGAGAUCUGGCCACUGCACUCCAGCCUGGGUGACAGAGCAAGACUCCAUCUCAAAAAAAAAAAAAAAAACAAAUUAAGAUUAGUUAAUAAAUACUUGGUUUUAUGUUCAUUCCAUUGUAGGAACUUAAUGAUUAUUACAAAACAGUCAAAAUAGGUCAUAGCAAAAUGAACAUUUAAGAUUAGGUUAAAACAUUCCUCUGAAAUUUUAGUAUUCACUUUUGAAGCAUCAAUUACUAUAUUAUAUGAAAAAUGAUAUUUGAAUCAAAGACAUUGUUUUUUCAUAUAGCCACUCCUUUCUAAAAUGCAAAUCCACCCUCCCCUCACCCAUGCUUUAUUAUUUAUACAUACACACACCCACAGACACACACAGAGCCAGCACCCAAAUGGUAGAGGAGGUCCUUUCAAGACUUCUAGGACCUGGAUCAUGUAAGUAGUAGAUGAGAAAAUGAAGUAAGAGGUAUAGAGCAAUAACAAUAAAAGUCAAUGAUUUCAUUUUACAAAAAGUCAUUGUGUAGUACUCAGAUAUUUUUAAAAGCAAGUAUUAUUAUGACUCAAGUAUAUCAUACUUCUAAAUUAUUAUGAUUCUCAUCUAAUUUCAAGCCACAUAUAGGAGCCAUUUGAAAGCAUUUUGUAUUACAACCUAUCAACAAAAAUCAACUAAUAGUUUUAUAAUGUGCAUAAAUUUACCCCAUGGGGAAUUAAAAUUUUUAUAUGCAAGUAUUUCUAUUGUUGUGAGACUUUAGGACAAGACAACAUUUGGUAUUAACAUAGAAGAAUAUUCUAUGGCUUUUUUAGCUUUAAUGUUCAUUACUCUAAAAUAAAGUACACGUGGUAAUUUUUUCUUCCUGGUGUUCUCUUAUUAUACAUAGAGUAUUUUCGUUUGUUGUUUUUAAUGUAUACAUUAUUUUUAUUAAGUCAUUUGGUAAAAGAUAAAAUAUAUACUAAUAGACUCUUGCUUUUCUCCUAAUUUAAUUAUUUCAAGUCAAGCAAAAUUGGGCACUUUUCUUUCAGGAAAAAAAAAAUAUUGAGCAUGAUUUUGAGGCAAAAUGAUUAUUUACAGCAUCUUUUCUCUAAUAGACUAACAUUUAUGAUGAAUCUUAUUUCAAAGUUGAUUAUUCUCAAAGAAAAGUGGAGAUAUUAGAAUUUCCAAGUAAAUUGCAUUGUUUUAAAGAGUACUUUAAUGCAUUGUUCACAUUGUUGCCAGCUAUUGACCAAAAAAGAGAAGAAAAAAGAAACAAAAAAAAGUAGUAUCUGCUCCAAAUGUCAAGUUUUGCAGUUUGAAAGACUUGUAAAUUCUAAUUUUUUUUUUCUUUUUUGGAAAGCAGUAGUGAUUAAUACCAAAGGCAUAGACAAUUUAGGCCAUAACCUCCCUUCCCUUCCCCACUCCCCAUCUUUUUUUUUUUUUUUUUUUUUUUUACUUUAACCAUGAUAGGCAUCUCUGCAAGGUAGGUUUUAACAUAUUUUUUUCCUAAUUUUUUUCCCUCCAUUCAGUAAGAAGGAUAAGCUUUUAGAGUACCCAGUCACCGUGGUAACUGCCAAAAAAAUUCUCCUGAAGUUUGAAGAGGUCAGCUGGCAGGGUCAACAACCCUGGCCUCUCUCUGAGCUCGGUCUAGCAUGCCCCAGCCUGCGGUUGGAGUGUCAGGCCAGAUCUGACCCUGGGAGGUGGACCAUUCUGGCUCUGAUAUAAAUUUUUCGAGUCAGUUCAUGGCCUGGACUCUCCAGGUGGCCUCCAAAAUCGAUUUUGACCCCCUGACCCUGUCUCACGGAGGCAUAGCAUCCACCCUAAGUAAGGAUUUAGCCAGGAAUGACAGCUUUCCACUGAGUGUUAUUGGGGACAGUAUAAACAGUUUGGAAAGCAAGUAAGGAGGUGUGAGUGCUAGGAAUCAUUAAAAGCACAUUAAAAAGCAAUUUUUAAAAAUCUUUGUUAGAAAAAGUUUUAAAUACAUAUCUGUUACAGAAUUCCUGUGACUUGUAGAGUUUUCUAGUCAGUUUUGAAUAUAAAUAAGUCACAUAUCUUUAUCUCUUUGCAUACUUUGUUACAAAUAUGCAAAUAAGAUAGGCAUACUUGCUACAAAAUAGGUACAGCAGGAAUGUAAUAUGUUCAGAAAAGGCAAACUAGUUAUUAAAACACAUUAACAGGUAAGGAGUUUCUAAUAUUUUAAAUACUAAAAUUUUGCAUGUGUGUUUUGAAGUGUUUAAAAUGGAAAAAUAAAGAACCUUUAAAAAACCCAACAGUGUGGAAUAAAGAUAAACUUGUUGCACUCAAAGUACAUUUCUACUUUGUAAAGCAAUAAGCCAAUACACUCAUUUGGAUAAAAAUGAGAGAAAAAUUAUAAAUAUAGAGAGUUACAUCUCAUAGAGGUAAAGAGGAAUAAAACAAAAAAAUAGUGUCUCUGAAUAACUUUAUGUAUUUUCAACAGUUUAAGAUAUCAGAAACUUGGAAAAUAAAUAUGAUAUGUAUGAAUCA